UACGUAGGGAGCAAGCGUUGUCCGGAAUCAUUGGGCGUAAAGCGCGCGUAGGUGGCCCUGUAAGUCCGUUGUGAAAGUCAAAGGCUCAACCUUUGAAAGCCGAUGGACACUGCAGGGCUAGAGUACGGAAGAGGCGAGUGGAAUUCCUGGUGUAGCGGUGGAAUGCGCAGAUAUCAGGAGGAACACCAAUAGCGAAGGCAGCUCGCUGGGACGUUACUGACACUGAGGCGCGAAAGCGUGGGGAGCGAACAGG
rnacentral:rRNA from 1 species